GAUGAACGCUGGCGGCGUGCCUAAUACAUGCAAGUCGAGCGAACGGACGAGAAGCUUGCUUCUCUGAUGUUAGCGGCGGACGGGUGAGUAACACGUGGAUAACCUACCUAUAAGACUGGGAUAACUUCGGGAAACCGGAGCUAAUACCGGAUGAUAUUUUGAACCGCAUGGUUCAAAAGUGAAAGACGGUCUUGCUGUCACUUAUAGAUGGAUCCGCGCUGCAUUAGCUAGUUGGUAAGGUAACGGCUUACCAAGGCAACGAUGCAUAGCCGACCUGAGAGGGGGAUAGGCCACCCUGGAACUGAGCCAGGGUCCAGACUCCUACGGGAGGCAGCAGUAGGGAAUCUUCCGCAACGGGCGAAAGCAUGACGGAGCAACGCCGCGUGAGUGAUGAAGGUCUUCGGAUCGUAAAACUCUGUUAUUAGGGAAGAACAUAUGUGUAAGGAAAUGUGCACAUCUUGACGGUACCUAAUCAGAAAGCCACGGCUAACUACGUG
rnacentral:rRNA from 1 species